rnacentral:rRNA from 1 species
GCAUAUCAAUAAGCGGAGGAAAAGAAACUAACAAGGAUUCCCCUAGUAACGGCGAGUGAAGAGGGAAGAGCUCAAAUUUGAAAGCUGGUACCUCCGGUAUCCGCGUUGUAACCUCGAGACACGUUUUCCGUGCGGCGCUAUGGACAAGUUCCUUGGAACAGGACAUCGUAGAGGGUGAAAAUCCCGUACUUGCCAUGGAUGUACCGUGCUUUGCGAUACGUGCUCUAAGAGUCGAGUUGUUUGGGAUUGCAGCUCAAAAUGGGUGGUAGACUCCAUCUAAAGCUAAAUAUCGGGGAGAGACCGAUAGCGAACAAGUACCGUGAGGGAAAGAUGAAAAGCACUUUGGAAAGAGAGUUAAAAGUACGUGAAAUUGUCGAAAGGGAAGCGCUUGAAGUCAGCCAUGCCGCUCAGGACUCAGCCUGGCUUUUGCUUGGUGUAUUUCCUGGGUAGCAAGUCAGCAUUGGUUUGGAUCGUCGGAGAAGCAUAGUCGGAAUGUGGCGCCCUCGGGCGUGUUAUAGCCUUCUAUUGGAUACGACGAUCUAGACCAAGGAACGCAGCGCGCCUUAUGGCGGGUCUUCGGACACCUUCGCGCUUAGGAUGCUGGCGUAAUGGCUUUAAGUGGCCCGUCUUGAAACACGGACC